rnacentral:tRNA from 1 species
ACCGGCUUCGUAUAAUGGUAGUACAAGGGACUCUGACUCCCUUGGUAGUAGUUCGAUUCUAUUAGCCGGUGCCA